UACGUAGGGUGCGAGCGUUAAUCGGAAUUACUGGGCGUAAAGCGUGCGCAGGCGGUUGUGCAAGACAGACGUGAAAUCCCCGGGCUCAACCUGGGAAUUGCAUUUGUGACUGCACGGCUAGAGUGUGUCAGAGGGGGGUAGAAUUCCACGUGUAGCAGUGAAAUGCGUAGAGAUGUGGAGGAAUACCGAUGGCGAAGGCAGCCCCCUGGGAUAACACUGACGCUCAUGCACGAAAGCGUGGGGAGCAAACAGG
rnacentral:rRNA from 1 species